rnacentral:rRNA from 1 species
GACGAACGCUGGCGGCGUGCUUAACACAUGCAAGUCGAACGGAAAGGCCCUGCUUUUGUGGGGUUCUCGAGUGGCGAACGGGUGUGUAACACGUGAGUAACCUGCCCUUGACUGUGGGAUAACUUCAGGAAACUGGGGCUAAUACCGGAUAGGAGCUCCUGCUGCAUGGGGGGGGUUGGAAAGUUUCGGCGGUUGGGGAUGGACUCGCGGCUUAUCGGCUUGUUGGUGGGGUAGUGGCUUACCAAGGCUUCGACGGGUAGCCCGCCUGGGAGGGUGGCCGGCCACCUUGGGCCUGCGGUACGGCCCAGACGCCUACGGUAGGCAGCAGUGGGGAAUAUUGCACAAUGAGGGCACGUCUGUUGCAGAAACGCCGCGUGCGGGAAGACGGCCUUCGGGUGGUAAACCGCUUUCGCCUGUGACGAAGCGUGAGUGACGGUACUGAGUAAAGAAGCACCGGCUAACUACGUG